GUCUUAUUGAUUAUAAUUUUAAGUCGAUCUGCCCAAUGAAAUAUUUUAAUGGCUGCAGUAUACUUGACUGUGCAAAGGUAGCAUAAUAAUUUGAUUUUUAAAUGAAAUCUGGAAUGAAAGAAUUAAUGAAAUAUAUACUGUCUCAAAUUUAUUUAAUGAAUUUAAAAUUUUAAUAAAAAUGUUAAAAUUUUUUUAUGGGACGAUAAGACCCUAUAGAAUUUUAUAUUGAAUUAAAUUUAUAAAAAAUAUAAAAUUUAAUUUAAUAUUUAAUUGGGAGAAUUAUUAAAUUUAAUUAAUUUUAAUAAAAAAAAACUUGAAUUAGAGAAAAUAUUAUGAUCUUUAAUUUAAAAUUAAUAGAUUAAAUUACCUUAGGGAUAACAGCGUAAUAUUUUUUUAUAGGUCACAUAGAAAAAAAUGAUUGCGACCUCGAUGUUGAAUUAAGAUAAAUUUUAAAUGCAGGAGUUUAAUAAUUAAGUCUGUUCGACUUUUAAAAUCUUACAUGAUUUGAGUUCAAAUCGACGUAAGU
rnacentral:rRNA from 1 species